rnacentral:rRNA from 1 species
GACGAACGCUGGCGGCGUGCUUAACACAUGCAAGUCGAACGGUGAAGCGCCUUCCUUUUUGGUGGGUGUGGAUGAGUGGCGAACGGGUGAGUAACACGUGAGUAACCUGCCCCCUUCUUCUGGAUAACCGCAUGAAAGUGUGGCUAAUACGGGAUAUUCUGGGUCUGUCGCAUGAUGGGUCUGGGAAAGAUAUUGUUUCGGUGGGGGAUGGGCUCGCGGCCUAUCAGCUUGUUGGUGGGGUGAUGGCCUACCAAGGCGGUGACGGGUAGCCGGCCUGAGAGGGUGGACGGUCACACUGGGACUGAGACACGGCCAAGACUCCGACGGGAGGCAGCAGGGGGGAAUAUUGCACAAUGGGCGCAAGCAUGAUGCAGCGACGCCGCGGGAGGGAUGGAGGCCUGCGGGUUGUGAACCUCUUUCGCCAGUGAAGCAGGCCUGCCUCGUUUGUGGGUGGGUUGACGGUAGCUGGAUAAGAAGCGCCGGCUAACUACGUG